rnacentral:lncRNA from 1 species
UCAGGCUGUCCACAUUAUCCGUUUGCCAAUUCACAUAACCUUUUAUCCCUUUUUCUUUAGUCACCAUCAUCAAGUCACACACAAACAUGCAAACCAGUAGUUCAUGCCAACAAGACAACACACAACAUCGGGUUCUCAGUCAUUCAGUCCAUAAUCAAUGAAACAGUGAUACAUGCACACGAAACUAUGAAAUAAAAACAUCAGACAUCAUACUGCAUUUAAAAUUGUAAAAUAGAACAAACGACAACUGACCGACAAAUAC